UAUGAAUUAUAAAUAAAAACAUAUAUCCCUAUGGUUG
rnacentral:sRNA from 1 species